rnacentral:rRNA from 1 species
AGUGAACGCUGGCGGCGUGCCUAAUACAUGCAAGUCGAACGAAGUGGCGCACGGGUGAGUAAUAUAUAGUUAAUCUGCCCUACACAGAGGAACAACAGUUGGAAACGCCUGCUAAUACCUCAUAGGGCAGGAUGAGACUAUAUCGUAUCAGCUAGUUGGUAAGGUAAUGGCUUACCAAGGCUAUGACGCGUAACUGGUCGGAGAGGAUGAGCAGUCAAAUUCGACCUGAGACACGGUUCAAAAUCCUACGGGAAGGAGCAGUAAGGAAUAUUGGGCAAUGGGCGAAAGUCUGACGCAGCAACGCCGCGUGGAGGAUGACACUUUUCGGAGCGUAAACUCCUUUUAUCAGGAAAGCGGUACCUGAUGAAUAAGCACCGGCUAACUACGUGCCAGCAGCCGCGGUAAUAC